CAGGAACUGAAAUUAAGACAUGCUCAAAAGAAGGUAUAGAGUUCAUUGUGAUGUCAUAACCCAGGCACUUCCCAAAGUGAAACCGCAACCUAACAAUGAUGUCGGAGAAUGUAAAUAAAGCAGAGAAAAUAAGAGCAUGAACUUUAAUAGUAUUGGCUCAACCUCAAGGACAAAUACAUCUCUAGUUUCUGGCCCUGGUGGGACUGACAUGAUGCAAGAAGUGAGGACAGUAACUGCCUUUGGAUGGAGCUGAGACUGGAAGGUGAGAUGGAGGAGGCUUCCACGGUGGAGUCAUGUUCUAAUUCUUAUCCCGAGUGUCAGUUAUGUGGACUAACAUCAUCAACGAACCUAUGUAUUUAGUUGUGCUUGCCUUUCUCUGUG
ensembl:lncRNA